rnacentral:rRNA from 1 species
AUGAACGCUGGCGGCGUGCCUAAUACAUGCCAGUCGAGCGCACAGACGAGGAGCUUGCUCCUCUGACGUUAGCGGCGGACGGGUGAGUAACACGUGGAUAACCUACCUAUAAGACUGGGAUAACUUCGGGAAACCGGAGCUAAUACCGGAUAAUAUAUUGAACCGCAUGGUUCAAUAGUGAAAGACGGUUUUGCUGUCACUUAUAGAUGGAUCCGCGCCGCAUUAGCUAGUUGGUAAGGUAACGGCUUACCAAGGCGACGAUGCGUAGCCGACCUGAGAGGGUGAUCGGCCACACUGGAACUCAGACACGGUCCAGACUCCUACGGGAGGCAGCAGUAGGGAAUCUUCCGCAAUGGGCGAAAGCCUGACGGAGCAACGCCGCGUGAGUGAUGAAGGUCUUCGGAUCGUAAAACUCUGUUAUUAGGGAAGAACAAAUGUGUAAGUAACUAUGCACGUCUUGACGGUACCUAAUCAGAAAGCCACGGCUAACUACGUG